rnacentral:rRNA from 1 species
AGUGAACGCUGGCGGUAGGCCUAACACAUGCAAGUCGAACGGCAGCACAGUAAGAGCUUGCUCUUACGGGUGGCGAGUGGCGGACGGGUGAGGAAUACAUCGGAAUCUACUUUUUCGUGGGGGAUAACGUAGGGGAACUUACGUUAAUACCGCAUACGACCUACGGGUGAAAGCAGGGGAUCUUCGGACCUUGCGCGAUUGAAUGAGCCGAUGUCGGAUUAGCUAGUUGGCGGGGUAAAGGCCCACCAAGGCGACGAUCCGUAGCUGGUCUGAGAGGAUGAUCAGCCACACUGGAACUGAGACACGGUCCAGACUCCUACGGGAGGCAGCAGUGGGGAAUAUUGGACAAUGGGCGCAAGCCUGAUCCAGCCAUACCGCGUGGGUGAAGAAGGCCUUCGGGUUGUAAAGCCCUUUUGUUGGGAAAGAAAAGCAGCAGGUUAAUACCCCGCUGUUCUGACGGUACCCAAAGAAUAAGCACCGGCUAACUUCGUG